rnacentral:rRNA from 1 species
UGAACGCUGGCGGCGUGCCUAAUACAUGCAAGUCGAGCGAACGGACGAGAAGCUUGCUUCUCUGAUGUUAGCGGCGGGCGGGUGAGUAACACGUGGAUAACCUACCUAUAAGACUGGGAUAACUUCGGGAAACCGUAGCUAAUACCGGAUAAUAUUUUGAACCGCAUGGUUCAAAAGUGAAAGACGGUCUUGCUGUCACUUAUAGAUGGAUCCGCGCUGCAUUAGCUAGUUGGUAAGGUAACGGCUUACCAAGGCAACGAUGCAUAGCCGACCUGAGAGGGUGAUCGGCCACACUGGAACUGAGACACGGUCCAGACUCCUACGGGAGGCAGCAGUAGGGAAUCUUCCGCAAUGGGCGAAAGCCUGACGGAGCAACGCCGCGUGAGUGAUGAAGGUCUUCGGAUCGUAAAACUCUGUUAUUAGGGAAGAACAUAUGUGUAAGUAACUGUGCACAUCUUGACGGUACCUAAUCAGAAAGCCACGGCUAACUACGUG